UACGUAGGGUGCAAGCGUUGUCCGGAAUUAUUGGGCGUAAAGAGCUUGUAGGCGGUUUGUCGCGUCUGCUGUGAAAUUUCGGGGCUCAACCCCGAACUUGCAGUGGGUACGGGCAGACUAGAGUGUGGUAGGGGAGACUGGAAUUCCAGGUGUAGCGGUGAAAUGCGUAGAUAUCUGGAGGAACACCGGUGGCGAAGGCGGCAUUCUGGACCGAUAUUGACGCUGAGGAGCGAAAGCCAGGGGAGCAAACGGG
rnacentral:rRNA from 1 species